rnacentral:lncRNA from 1 species
UCCUUCCCUUGGAUCAGAUAGGAAAUCCUCACUUUUCCAAGACAGAAGAGAAGCAAGCAACGGAUUGAGCAACUAGCGCGAAAGCCGUUGCGCGUUAGCGCAUCCGUUUUCUUGCUUGAUUUUUAUACGAUUUUUUGAGCAACUAGCGCGAAAGCCGUUGCGCGUUAGUGCAUCCGUUUUCUUGCUUGAUUUUUAUACGAUUUUCUGAAGUGAUCUGUCCAACUAAGUAGAAAAGGACACUAGAGUGUGGCUACACGUGGUAUAGGGCUGCUCGUCCCGCCUGGUGUUGAGGGAGCUAAAGUGGAACUCUCACAUACAUGUUCCUUAAGUUUUUAGCUCAUUAAAUGAUACAGUCCUCGCUGAUGGAUCGGCAAGUACUCCACGGUCAGCGGCUAUCAGCUAACGUUAUGGGCCGUUAGUGGUGGUUCAUUGCCUAUAGUGUUGUAAUCUGGAAUCCAGGUUUUGUGAUAACCGUGUUGUUUACUUUCAGUGUUCUUUAUUGUUCACAGCUGGAUUGAGCUCAGUUGAGAGUGUCAUGCUCUGUCAAUAUCUGUUGCAGGAGUUGUCAUUCUCUGUUACUAGAGUUGUCAAUCUCAGAUGCAGGAGUUGUCAGUUGCAGCCAUUCUCGCUGUGUCAAGCUUGUGACUUGCGUUGUAUCAGGUUGGUAACAGCUUGUAUCUCGAUAGGACUGAAUGUAGCCAGGAGUUGUCUUAGGUUAGUCUAAUGUGCCAAAACGUUAGUCAAACCACCUAGGUUGUGUUUGUUCUGGAGAGUUCAGCUAGUCUGAGUGAUCUGGGUUAUCCUACGUUUUAUCCCUGUUUCGAUCUUUUUUUCGACUAUAGGGGUUUUGUAGCAGCCCAGCAGCAUCCGUGUGACAGAGAGUCAUAUUAAGGAUAUAAUAAUGCUUUCCCCUUGAACCCCUUGCAUAAAAAGUAGGAAAAUGGACUGAAAUUGUUGGAUAAGUGGAUUUGCAGUAUCUCAACAAUCAGAACAGCGAAUAUUCCAUCAUCCAAACUAAGCUUCCUCAGAUCCUAACCCAUUGGUCAUUAUCGAGCCUCGUGACUCCGGCUGUGUUGAUAUCUUCGUAUUACCUGUUAUCAUUCUAUCUAUCUGGUUAUUGCUUUAUGUGUUGGUUGGUAUUGAACUAUUUAAGUUUAAGUAGUAUAGUUACUGAUUCUAUUGACUGAAGGAUUGCUAUUGCUGACAUCUUCUAUGAUGGAAGCCGAGGGAAAGGCCACCAAGAGAUUCGGGUGGGUCGGCCUUCUAUAUUACCUAGUCGCCCGUUACGAUAUUCCUUUACGAGAAUAGCCUACUUUCGCUUCUAAAGUGCCUUUUUUUUCAACAACUCAAUAGAACUUUUUUCUUUUUUCAUAUUAUGUUAUUUGCACUUUGGAUUUUCCUCUCUCGCUCCUGGACUCUUGUUUAGCUUGUUAGAGGGAAUGAUCCGCCCGGGGAUCCGGGUUUUUUCUUUCCUACGAUGAAGGUGCCUUAAACCGAAUGAAUAUCUCAAGCACUCGAGUAAGCUGUGGACGCACGUUGAGGACGAAGGGAACGCGCUUCUGUCCUUCUGUCAUUGGACUGAUCAUUUCUUUUUGCUUUCUAGGCCAUAGAUUAGUGAAAUUUCUCUUCUAAUGAAAUAGAUCUUUCAAGUUUUCGUAUGAGUCUACUAGUCAUAGGUUUCUAUUUUGGUAUUUCUACCGGAGAUAGGUAUGGAAGCCACUAUGAGUAUAUAUCCAGGUAUGCUUCUAACUUCACCUCACGCCAUAAACGGAAUCCCUAUCAUGAGCGCAACUGUAUUUACAAGUUCAGUAGCCUGAGUGAGCUUUCUCCUCAAUAUGGAUGUGGUGAUUGUUCAUAAACUUCUUGAAAAUCAGACAGACUUAUUAUCAGUGCUCCAAGCUCCAUGUGUUCUAGGGCUAAGACUACGUUGGUGUAGGCUCCCCUUAUCCUUCCUCUGGCAUUCGCUAAUCGAUUUCUAAAUGAGUGGAAUUUCUAUUCUCUAACUGCUCAAAUAGCAAUGGUUUCCUGUUCCGCAUUGACCCUAGGAUUGGCGGCUUGGCUUAAAGAAUAUGGGAUUCUCUUUCCGGUGGAAAAUUUCAUCUGAAAAUGAGACUGAGACCUACUUUUCGAAUUGUCAGAGGCUAUGAGAUCCACUUUCUUUUGGAAAGGAGAAGGGAGAAGCAGCAUUUCAACUGUGUGAGGAUGGACUCUAGACCCACUCGUUCUGAUUCUGUGAUUGCAAUUUCUAAAAAUGGAUCAUAAAGUUGAUCCUGUUUACUAACUCACUCUCGAAGUAGAACUACCGGACCAGGUAACCAGAAGAUAAGGCCACUCGGCAAGACUGGACUAGUUUAACACGGCUUUCUAGUGGAACACUAUAUAUAUAGGACUUGUAGAGCUUGAAAAAGCUUGUUUUGGUCUUUUUUUCUCUUUUCUGGGUACUGAACUUCAUAGACAGACUUACCAACUGAUGAGCCAAAGUAGCAAAUUUCUUCUUCCUGGGAGGGGCGGACUCUACGUUGGUAGAUCGAACUUUCAUUUCUUCCUUCCAUUUCAUCUGUUCAAGUAGUCUCCUUUUCAAGUAGAUACGCUUUGAUACCAGACUGGUGUGCAUUCUACGCUUACCCAGCGAGCGAAGAAGCGAGCCGAUUCCUCUGUUCCGGUAGAGCCAAUUCCUUUGAAGAAUUGUUUACUUUCUUGUCUUUCCUUCAGUGAACAGAGUGGAAGACCAGGUAUCUUCGUAGUUGGCUCUGGAAUGAUUGCUUGCAGGAUUUCAUAUUUUCCAGUGAUCAGCUUAGUUGGAAGAGAUAGAUAGGAGAAGCGAAUGCCACAUGCGCGGUGUGCCAAUCAAUCCAAUUUCGUGAGAUCGAGUCAAGAUAAGAAGGCAAAAUUCUUUGGAGUAAAGUCGCCUGGAAGAAAGAAUAGGAAUUGAUCUAGCUAUAGUAUAGGUAGAGUGUCAGAUGAAAUGCUUGACAAGGCAAGGAAACAGAACUUCCACAUCCUCUGUUCACACUACCUGGAUUGGAAUUGGUUCUAUCGAGAUAUACUGACUUGAAACAGGAAUUUCUUGGUAACUGCUGCUUCUUUGAAGCAAGUGCUUUCAGGUUGGCUCUUCUGAUAUGUGUAUUUGCUACCCAUACGGAACAAUUUCAUUGAUGAAAGAUGGAUGGCUAUUCUCCACAUUUGCCAGCACAGUGCACUUUUUCUUCUAUUUCGUGAUUCCUUUCUUUCUGUCGCCAUUUGAAAAUGGAUUUCUCCUCCUGGUUUUAGUCACACACGUCUUUUCCACCUAGGAAGGAUGCCCCUACGAUCAUUCCAUGCUCUGCCUUCGCCCGAGCGGUCCCCAGGGAAUGAAGCCAAUAAUGGGAGUGUCAAGGCGGAACUUCAUUAAUGAAAGGAUUUGCACUGCCCCACCGUGCCGCAGGGACGAACUUCAAUAGCCCAUCAUAGCACUCUCAGUCAGGGGGUUAGGGAACUCUUGAAGAUAUCGAUAGAAUAACAUUUCUUUUUCAUAAGUUUAAGUGGACGCAGAGCCAACAAGUGCUGUUUUUCAGCAUAAGGUCAGGUUACAGAAAGGCCUAUUUUGAUAAGCAAGGCAUUGCAAACAAAUAGGUAGAGCAGAGAGCUAACCUAAGGAGCAAGCUUGUUGUAGUUGGUCUAAAGGGGGAAAUAAAGGACUGUCCCGCUACUACUUCCUUGAUUCCCGGGAAAGAAGGAAGACCGAGGGUAACUAACUCUUCCUUCUAAAAAAUCUAUAUCCCAGCUCGUUUUCAUCGAGCCUUCCCCCCGUUUGGAGUAUAGCCAAGUGGUAAGGCAUCGGUUUUUGGUACCGGCAUGCAAAGGUUCGAAUCCUUUUACUCCAGAGCAUACUUAUUCUAGAAANAAGAUAGAAGAAGAAAAGUAAAGGGUCAUCCCUAAUAAAUAAAUGAAAGUAGAUUUACAUUCUUUUUGUAUUUCUAGGGGGAAUGUUGAGGCAAACUUACGAUGCUGACAAGCUGGUUAGGUGCCGAGUUGGAUUAGACAUCGCAGGUUUCAGUUUAAGAAUUGGGAAGAGGUUAAGAACCUAGUGGAAUCCACUGCAAGGGGAAGUGCUGAAGUGAAGAAAAGCCCCAAUUUUGGAGAGGAUUGCAUAAUUGGAGAGUCGAAUUGGAGCAAAGCCGUGAUCUGGUAGGCGACUGGUACAAGUGCUAGACUGGAGCUAGACAAGAAGCGUUGAGCAGGAACUUGAGCAAUUCAAGAAAUCUUAGAAGAAACUGGAUAUGUGGCAACAAGAAGGGCUUAGCCAGAAUCUUGAAACAGGUAUGAUACCGACACAUAUCAGCCUGAUGUGAUGUACCUGAAUUCAUUCAUGUUCUGUGGAGUCUUUCUUUUAAUAUUCUUAUUUUUUUCUCAGUUUAAUUAGGAAGCAAAUGCGGUUUCAAGAUGAACUCAACCUCGAAAAGGAAUUCAAUUAGCUGUGCAGUUAGCCCUUUUAUCUUUAAUAAUUGGUUGAAAUGGAUAUUGCCUGUCACUUGAAAAUAAGGUUGUUUCAUUUAGAAUUCAGCAAGUUUCUUAGAAAAUUGUUAUUAAACAGGUUGAUGUUCCACUGGGAAUGGAAUAACAAAGGCUUUUGGCAGUUUGUGGAUCGAGAUGUGAUUCGCUUUUUGAGUAAUAGUUUCUUUCAUUUGGUGUGCUCUUCCUGGAACCGGUAAUAGGAAAAAUUUGGUGCAUUCUACUUUGCUGUUAUGGUAUUUACAAUCCUUGAAUUGUUUGAACCUGACUCUCAUUAUCUGUCUUCAUAGUCUGGAGGGUAUUUUGGAUAUCGUGGAGGUAACUGACGAUGAAUUCGUCUCUUGCCUCACCGAUCUGAACACGGAGUUUCCGAAGCUACAAGAGUGCUUGGUUAAACGGUGCCAUUAAGUUUCAACUGUCUUUAAACUUACUACUUCAAGUGCAAUUAUCAACUCCUUGCAAAAUUGUUGGCUUUCUCAUCUACAAAAGGCAACUCUGGUAUUCAAGGAAACAGACAAUUAGGUUCCACUCACUACGUCAACUAAAGCAACUGCAUCUGGAGCACUUACCAGGGAAAAUAGAAUAAAUAAUGACGUAGUACGAGGGGAUUUUUUUUCUCACUAUUGCCAUCCUGUGUUCAGUUCCAAUUUCGUAGUAGGAGACAGACUCAAAGUCAAUAGAUUCCUAUCCUUUUCUAUAGACAUAGGCUUGGUCAAGUGCUUAAAAAAGAGGUGACCCGAAUGAUUUCAAUGAAUUGCUAUUUGGUCAGAUUGGAACAAUUGGAUUCGAAAGGAAAGAAAGACUGUGAACGAAGAGGGCCGCCCAUGAUCGAUUGGAUUCGACAAAUAAAGUAGAGGGCCCGCCCGUGUCACCACCAGUCCACCGAACCAGCUGUAGAUCGCUAACUCUCUUGUCGACGCCCGGAACUUAUGUACGAGUUAAAAAUGAAUUGUUCCCGAGUAGAGAGGGCAGGAUAAGGAUUCAGUAAGAAGGAGAGUCUACUUAUGGAAAUGCCAUCAUCUCUUUCCUCAGUAACGGAGUGACUAGCUACCCCGACUUUGUAUUCCAGUUCCAUUCUUACUGGUGCAGGAGUCCAAAGUGCAUCUUCCAACUCCCUAACUGCGUCUUCCAUGAAGUUCGGGAGACCCCUCACGUGCCGCUGCCCGUGAGACUUGCCUUUGUACACUUUGCGCAUCGCUUCGACUAGACCCCGCUACUACCUCAUAUCCAAAUACCUGCGAUCUAGCUCAUUCUUUUUAAGCCCUGCAAGCCUAAUAGAACCUUGUUUCCUGGGCCAAGUCAGCCUAUAAGUAAGUAGGGCUGAAGACAAUUUGUUUGUUAGUUUUUCAAUCUUCUUCCUUCUAUGCUUAGAGUAAGUGGAAAUGACCUCCUUGAUCAGCAAGUAAGCGAGCGGUAGUUCAGUCUCCAACAAGUGAGGCCGAAUAGCCCCUGGUGUCCUUUUCCUUCUAAACUAGCUGCUCUCGCUUGACUCUUCUAGUGAGCAAGAAAACUGGUCGGGGAACUGGGUCGGAUCAAAGUAAGGAAUGGGAAUAGCACUCACUCGUUGAAGGUAAGCCAGAAACAGGGGUUGUCCUCUCCCUUACUUAAGUCCUAGUCCAUCUUUUCGUGCCCCAAAGGGGAAGUCAAGCAAUAAUGAGGGAACUUGACCCACACCUGACGAAAGAGUUUGGUAGCUCGAAGGAAGCAGAAGCAAAACCUGCUUUCUUUCUGUCCCAACCUCCAAGGGUUCCUCCCUGUAUGACAUAGUCCAUUGGAUUGGGGCAAUGGUACGCACCUAUGUUUGGUGUCCCCUCUCUCACUUCCUCGUCAGAUCCUGGUCCCAAAGGGCAAUACAUUGAGUCGGAAAGACGGGGGGGGGGGGCUUUCGUAAAUUCCAUUAUGUAGCUGAACUAGCCCGUGGAUCAGCUCUCAUAGUGGGAGAAUCAGAUUUAAGUUAGGCGCAAAAGAGGGGGUUGACAUCAUUCGUCGUGAUUGGAUCAAUCAGACUCCCACACAGGAAAUGCCAAGGGGCGCCCUUUCUCAUUAUCAUCUACCGCCCAUUUCUUCAUCAUCUGCUGCUGCCUUAAGUGCGUAAAGUAGGCUCAGCUUCUUAGGUUUCUAAAUAUCUUGUAGUAGCCGAAGGUAGUCCAGUCCGCUUGUUAGAUUGAAUUGAAUCUUAUAUAACCUAUGUAGCUAAAGAGAAAAUCAUAAUAGUCUAAGUGGACCUCUCAAAGGUAUAAAUAAGUAGACAUUAGUCUUACUGGUUCGGCCUUUUUCUUUUUUUGUUAUGAUGCCCACAUUUCAUACUUCUCAAUUCUUAUUUAUUCAAGGGUUCGUAUGUACUGAGUGACUCUAGGUCUAUUCAGAUGCAACUUCAUGAGAGCUUUAUUCGGCCUUUGUAUGACCGUCUUCCCUUCCUGUCUAUCUCCUUCGGUCAGGUAGUUCUGCUUCCGAUGCCGGAGGAGCAGGGUGGGAUAGAAGGGUAGUUUCUGAGUUCGAGCUACUGUAGUCUCCCCCGUUGACCAUCUUUUUUAGAUAGAAUCCUCAAUGAGUGGAAUGGACUCCCAAACUUGCUCCACAGUACUAUACCAUACAGAGCCGCGCCCUUGUGAUAUGAUAAGAAGAAAAGGGGCGAGGCCGCCCUCUUUUCUUUUCCGCACCAAGCCUUCUUGUAAAAUCGGGUGUAUAGCUCAGUUGGUGGGAGCAUUGGGCUUUUAACCUAAUGGUCGCAGGUUCAAGUCCUGCUAUACCCAAAAAAAAAACCACUCUUGUAUUCGUAAGGAUGCAUAGUAGCCUUCAAAGAGCACUCUUUGGCCUUGAGAAAAGCCCCUUUCUCAUCAACAUCUCGACUUCGCUCGUUGUUUGAGGUAAGUAUAAAGGAGAUCAGAUCUGUCCCGGGAAUCGAAGGAUACAGAAAUAUGGAAUGGAGCACAGAUUAUAGGAAACAAGCAAACAGAACAGGUUGGAUCCCAUCUUUAACUGCACAGAGCAGCAGCCUACUAUUGAUUG